CAGCCGCCACGGUAAUACGUAGGGUGCAAGCGUUAAUCGGAAUUACUGGGCGUAAAGCGUGCGCAGGCGGUUUGUUAAGACAGAUGUGAAAUCCCCGGGCUCAACCUGGGAACUGCAUUUGUGACUGGCAAGCUAGAGUGUGGCAGAGGGGGGUGGAAUUCCGCGUGUAGCAGUGAAAUGCGUAGAUAUGCGGAGGAACACCGAUGGCGAAGGCAGCCCCCUGGGCCAACACUGACGCUCAUGCACGAAAGCGUGGGGAGCAAACAGGAUUAGAUACCCCGGUAGUCCCUGUCUCUUAUAC
rnacentral:rRNA from 1 species